rfam:Stegodyphus mimosarum contig44885, whole genome shotgun sequence.
GCCAUCGUGGUGUAGUGGUCAGCAUACUUGGCACGUAUUCGAGACGUCCGUGGUUCGAGUCCCGGCGAGGGCA